UACGUAGGGUGCAAGCGUUGUCCGGAAUUAUUGGGCGUAAAGAGCUCGUAGGCGGUUUGUCGCGUCUGCUGUGAAAACCCGAGGCUCAACCUCGGGCCUGCAGUGGGUACGGGCAGACUAGAGUGCGGUAGGGGAGAUUGGAAUUCCUGGUGUAGCGGUGGAAUGCGCAGAUAUCAGGAGGAACACCGAUGGCGAAGGCAGAUCUCUGGGCCGUAACUGACGCUGAGGAGCGAAAGCGUGGGGAGCGAACGGG
rnacentral:rRNA from 1 species